rnacentral:rRNA from 1 species
UACAGAGGGUGCAAACGUUGCUCGGAAUUAUUGGGCGUAAAGCGCAUGUAGGCGGCACGGUAAGUCGACUGUGAAAGCCCUUGGCUUAACCAAGGAAGUGCAGUCGAAACUGCCGAGCUCGAGUUCUGAAGAGGGUCGCGGAAUGGCCAGUGUAGAGGUGAAAUUCGUAGAUAUUGGCUAGAACACCAGUGGCGAAGGCGGCGACCUGGGAAGAUACUGACGCUGAGAUGCGAAAGCGUGGGGAGCAAACAGG